UACGGAGGGUGCAAGCGUUAUCCGGAUUUAUUGGGUUUAAAGGGUCCGUAGGCGGACUAUUAAGUCAGCGGUGAAAGCCCUCUGCUCAACAGAGGGACUGCCGUUGAUACUGAUAGUCUUGAGUAUAAGUGAGGUUGGCGGAAUGUGUGGUGUAGCGGUGAAAUGCUUAGAUAUCACACAGAACACCGAUUGCGAAGGCAGCUGGCCAACUUAUAACUGACGCUGAGGGACGAAAGUGUGGGGAUCAAACAGG
rnacentral:rRNA from 1 species